rnacentral:rRNA from 1 species
GGCGAACGGGUGAGUAACGCGUAGGUGAUCUACCUUCAAGUGGGGGACAACCCAGGGAAACUUGGGCUAAUACCGCAUGUGGCAGUAAUGCUAAAGCCGGCCUCUGAAUAUGCUGGUGCUUGGAGAUGAGCCUGCGUCUGAUUAGCUAGUUGGUGGGGUAAUGGCCUACCAAGGCGAUGAUAAGUAGGCGGCUUUAACGAGUGGUCGCCCACACUGGGAUUGAGAUACGGCCCAGACUCCUACGGGAGGCAGCAGUCGAGGAUAGUCUACAAUGGUCGAAAGAUUGAUAGUGCGACGCCGCGUGAACGAUGAAGCAUUUCGGUGUGUAAAGUUCUUUUCUAUGCGAGCAGGUGCCUGGCGGUUAAGAGCUACCGGGUAUUGAUAUUAGUAUAGGAAUAAGCCACGGCUAACUCCGUGCCAGCAGCCGCGGUAAUACGGGGGUGGCGAGCGUUGUCCGGAAUUACUAGGCGUAAAGGGCAGGUAGGCGGAUUGGUAAGUUAAUUGUUAAAGGCCCAUGCUCACCAUGGGUAAGGCAGUUGAUACUGUCAGUCUGGAAGCGAGU